rnacentral:rRNA from 1 species
AUGGUGGGGGCGAAAUUUGGGCUCGGCCGGCGUGCCGUUCGCCGGAUCUGGUAUGGUGCGGUGCUACGGCUCAGCACGCGGGUUGGUGGUGGCACCGGCUGUAGGUAUCGUGGUGGUGCCAUGGCCGGUCAAGCAGCGGCGGCUGCCGCGGUGGUGGACGAUCCGUGCACAAGACGCUUGAUGGAGGCCACUGGAACAGAUCUGGGUGAAGACCUGCUCACGGCUGCUGCCGAGGCCGGCGAUGGCGGCACUAUUCGGUGUCGUUCCCUUGUUGAAGGCAUCACUGUUGAGAAGUUUCAGGCCACUAUCUGCUACCUCCGGGGGAAACCCUAG